AGGAAUUAUGCUAUCAGGUGGAUGGCUCGGCUCAAGAGCUGAUGAAGGACGUGCCAAGCUGCGAUAAG
rnacentral:rRNA from 1 species